AGAGUUUUAAUACCCGUACAGCAACUUGGAGCCACUGUCCCUCCAAAAACCCCAUAGCUAAUGCAUGGAAUAAGGAGGUAUGUGACCUGUUCGCAUGUUAUGGCUGCACCUACACGAUGACGAGGCAACAACAUGGAAACUGUAAGCAACAGCAUCAUCAAUCCCACCUUUGCCUUCCCAGACCUGCCCAUCCUUCCCUAAGUUUGUGUUUACUAACUACUUUUGCUGCUUAAUUUGUUAUGUUAUGCAGAUCCGUACUUACUGGACCUCUACUGCUCUAACCUUUAUAUAGAGAAAGCGUACUUGGAUUUGGGCUGGGCUAUUUUUUUUCUUCUUUUGUCGCAUGCGUCAAAUUGAAGGCGAUGAGGAGCAAGAUUUUCCGGUUACAAACAAGCAUAUAUUGUUGGCAUUAGCGGUAAGAAUAUUCAAACUGGCAUUAUCGGUAAGAAUAUUCAAACUGGAA
rnacentral:lncRNA from 1 species